UACGGAGGGUGCAAGCGUUAUCCGGAUUCACUGGGUUUAAAGGGUGCGUAGGAGGGCAGGUAAGUCAGUGGUGAAAUCUUCGAGCUUAACUCGGAAAUUGCCGUUGAUACUAUCUGUCUUGAAUACCGUGGAGAUGAGCGGAAUAUGUCAUGUAGCGGUGAAAUGCUUAGAUAUGACAUAGAACACCAAUUGCGAAGGCAGCUCGUUACACGAAUAUUGACUCUGAGGCACGAAAGCGUGGGGAUCAAACAGG
rnacentral:rRNA from 1 species